GCGCCCGUAGCUCAGCCGGAUAGAGCAUCAGCCUCCGAAGCUGAAGGCCGGGGGUUCGAAUCUCCCCGGGCGCA
rnacentral:tRNA from 1 species